rnacentral:rRNA from 1 species
UACGUAGGGGGCAAGCGUUGUCCGGAAUCAUUGGGCGUAAAGCGCGUGUAGGCGGCUCGGUAAGUCUGCUCUGAAAGCCCGGGGCUCAACCCUGGGAGGCGGGUGGAUACUGCUGAGCUCGAGUCCGGAAGAGGCGAGUGGAAUUCCUGGUGUAGCGGUGAAAUGCGCAGAUAUCAGGAGGAACACCAAUGGCGAAGGCAGCUCGCUGGGACGGUACUGACGCUGAGACGCGAAAGCGUGGGGAGCAAGCAGG